UUUCUUAGAAUUGAACUGGCUACAAAUGUUGGAAAGACACUUAGCCUCUAUAUCCGCCGUAUUCUGAGCUUUGGACCGAAAUGUCAAAGAAAUCGAGUCUUGACCCAAAUUUUUAUGGUUUCUUUCUCACAUUUUGCUCAUUUUGAAAAUGAUCUAUUCGAAUCCUUUUCAUAAUAUGAGAAUUUAUAUUGCUCAAUCGCAGCAGAAGAGACACCAGACCUACAUAUGUAAUUUACGAUUUACAAAGGUGGACGGUGGAAAACUUAAAAACUCGUCCAGGAUCUGUUCCUUUUACCAUAGUAGAUCGGGAGCCCAAGGAAACUAUUGGAAUCGAGCUGUCGACAUUAAACAGUCGACUUCCUUCUUUUUGGAGCGAAUGGAGGAAUCCCUAAACGAAGGAUGCAAUCGCUGCAUCUGAUAGUAUUUCUGUAAAAUAACGGAUGUUCAUCCCUUACUUGAACAAAAUAGAGAUUCAAACAGGAGGUUAUCCAGAUAUUUGGGCCAAAGAUGCUCUCAUUGAUGUACUCGUGGUGGUAAUCUAUUUGAUGAAUUUGGUACUAAAGCGGAUUCUGCCAAUGGUAAAGCGAUCCAUGCUGCCACGGGAAAAAAGGUGUGAAAAUUGUUGCUAUUCCUGCUAAAAUUUUGAAGUUUGCAAAUAUAAGAGCAUUUGCUUGA